CCUGGGCGACAGGUUGAGACCUGUCUCAAAACACAAACGAACAACACAAAAGCAAACACAAAAUCCAUAGAUUUGACCGCAUCAAAACUAUAAACUUUACUAUGACACACACACACACACACACACACACACACACACACACACACACACAACCUAUGAAGUUAAAAGACAUACCUCAGACUGGGACACCACAGACUGGGAUAAAUAUUUGCCAUGUAUUUGAUAGACAAAGACUUAGUAACCAGAAUAUAUAAAGAAAUCUUAUAAACCAAAAAGAGAAAGAAGAACUCCAUGGAAAACUGGGCAGUGGACGUUAACAGGCAGGUCAUGUAAGAGAAAACUCAAAUAGCCAAGAUGCUUAUCCCCAAUAAUACUCAGAAAAACGCAGAGUGAAGUAACAACAGCACAUCUUUUCACUCCUCAGGUUGGCAAGAGUCUUAAAAUCUAUAUCAAAUAUUGGUGAGGGCGUGAAGCAAUGGCGUCUCUUGACUACUGAAGUUCUAUAGGCACCAGCACCAUCGUUUUGAGGAGAAAUUUGGCAUGAUCUUGUCAAGCUGAAAUUGUAUUAGACCAGAAAAACUACCACCAGGGAGAGAAGGGGAAAGUGAAGAAGACAGACCUAGAAGUGAAGGAGAGAAAAGCAUUUUGUGGAUGCCUAUUUUUACAGGCUCGGAAGCUGCCAUCUGUGGGAGGGGGAAAGUCCCUAGUUCAUUAUUAUCCAACAAUUGGAGAAAAAGGAGACCCCACGUGCACACGGGUGCUCGCUCCAGUCCUGCUUCAAUAGCCCAAAACUAGAAACCACCUCAAAGUCUGUUACCCAGGACGCCAUGGAAGACCCACACCACAGAGCACCUCGCCACCGUGUGGCCGGCCUGCAGACCUCAUGCACCGACAGGGAAAGGGGUCCUCAAUCUACAUUUAUGGGAAAACUGACAAAAUCAGCCCCAACUCCCAGGAGGAGAGAGGGACUGGGUUGGUGGGUGAAACUUUGCAUUUUUUUCUAAUAGGUUUGGCUGAUACCAAACCUAUUAGAUAUGAUUUGGUUUGGCUGUGUCCCCUCCCAAAUCUCAACUUGAAUGAUAUCUCCCAGAAUUCCCAUGAGUUGUGGGAGGG